ACGGGAGGCAGCAGUGGGGGAUAUUGCGCAAUGGGGGAAACCCUGACGCAGCAACGCCGCGUGAAGGAAGAAGGUCUUCGGAUUGUAAACUUCUUUUAUGAGGGACGAAGGAAGUGACGGUACCUCAUGAAUAAGCCACGGCUAACUACGUGCCAGCAGCCGCGGUAAUACGUAGGUGGCAAGCGUUAUCCGGAUUUACUGGGUGUAAAGGGCGCGUAGGCGGGGAUGCAAGUCAGAUGUGAAAUCUAUGGGCUUAACUCAUAAACUGCAUUUGAAACUGUGUCUCUUGAGUGCUGGAGAGGUAGAUGGAAUUCCUUGUGUAGCGGUGAAAUGCGUAGAUAUAAGGAAGAACACCAGUGGCGAAGGCGAUCUACUGGACAGUAACUGACGCUGAGGCGCGAGAGCGUGGGGAGCAAACAGGAUUAGAUACCCUGGUA
rnacentral:rRNA from 1 species